rnacentral:rRNA from 1 species
AUUGAACGCUGGCGGCAGGCCUAACACGUGCAAAUCGAGCGGAUGAAGGGAGCUUGCUCCUGGAUUCAGCGGCGGACGGGUGAGUAAUGCCUAGGAAUCUGCCUGGUAGUGGGGGAUAACGUCCGGAAACGGGCGCUAAUACCGCAUACGUCCUGAGGGAGAAAGUGGGGGAUCUUCGGACCUCACGCUAUCAGAUGAGCCUAGGUCGGAUUAGCUAGUUGGUGGGGUAAAGGCCUACCAAGGCGACGAUCCGUAACUGGUCUGAGAGGAUGAUCAGUCACACUGGAACUGAGACACGGUCCAGACUCCUACGGGAGGCAGCAGUGGGGAAUAUUGGACAAUGGGCGAAAGCCUGAUCCAGCCAUGCCGCGUGUGUGAAGAAGGUCUUCGGAUUGUAAAGCACUUUAAGUUGGGAGGAAGGGCAGUAAGUUAAUACCUUGCUGUUUUGACGUUACCAACAGAAUAAGCACCGGCUAACUUCGUG